GACGAGAUCGCCAAGCCCGGUAUGGCGCUGGAUUGCUAAUCCAGUGGUGCUCAGCACCUCGGGGGUUCAAAUCCCCCUCUCGUCG
rnacentral:tRNA from 1 species